UCGCCUAGCGGUUGAAAUUCAACCAUAUACGAUUUAAUUUACAAUACCACUUAGAAUACGUUCAAGAAUAAUUUUUAUUUAACUCAAACUCAAACAAACUCUUUUAUAAAACUCUAUUCAUAUGAGACGUCAAUAUCAUCGCAAUGUCUAUCGAUUUUGACGUUUUGUCAAAUACGAUCAGAUACUAUGCAUGUGUGUGUAAUGUUUUAUUUAUUGAUUUAAUGUACUUUAUAAGCAUUAUUUUUGAAAAAUAUUAGCGUUCUUCACUUCUCCUACACAUAAACUAUAAGUGUACCAAAUUUUAUGCUCCUACGUCCGCGCAAUUUUCGUAAAUAACGGUCCAAAGUUUUUGCAUCACGUAUUAAUAUAUAGAUGAGUAAGUUGAAUACUUACUAGUUUUUAUUGAGGCCUUAUUAAGACAUAGGGUUCCCAAUAAGGCCAAAGUGACACUUUAGUUAUUUGUGUUUACAAAAUUGUAAUUUUUGUUUCUAAAGCCAUUUUGAUUCCAUUAUUACAAAGUUUAAUAAAUAAAUAUAAGAUUUUGAAAUUA